GAAACCACGGUCCUGAUACACAACAGUACGAGGCAAGGCAUCAUUCACGAUUAUUUAACAUUUAAUUACUUCCCGACACUCGCCAGAAAGACACACUUUGGGGUCGUUAUUGCAACUCUGCCGGAAUAAAACGUUCAGAGACAGUAGUUGGGACUCAGAAAAGAUUCUCCGAUAUAUCUCCUCAAUGGCCAACUGCGUGGUCAACUCGUGUAUGUCUGCAAAUCGAGAAAGCGAAUUAUUUUGAAUGGGCAAUCUUUCACAACAGUUAUAUAACAGUACUAGUCGAGGCAUCAAUACUUAAAGCAACUCUUCCAGAAGACUGACUUUCAAUUAAUGGAGUUGGAUUCGGGUUAGAUUGCACUUCUAGUUUUACAAUAUUUGGAAAAUUCCAUCUUCCGCAGCCCACUCGAUCUCUGCACUGCCUCCGACACGUCCUAAACGAAUGAUUAAUUAUUUUGGAGACAUAUUUUGGAUAUCAUACAGCAGCAAAUCAGAUCACUAUGUCAGCGGCCACGUACGUGCAAGGUUUCCAUGACGACGAGAGAACAAAUAAGAUGUGUUACCAUGAUCUUGGGGCCACUGGUAUGAAGGUGUCUGUCAUAGGGUUCGGUGCAGCACCCCUUGGGAAGGUCUAUGAUGCGGAUCUCUCUGAUGAACAGGGCGUGGCCGCUCUUCGACAUGCUCUACGCGGUGGGAUUAACUAUAUCGACACGGCCCCAUAUUAUGGACAAGGGAAAUCGGAAGCCGUCUUAGGAAAUGCUCUUAAACAUAUUCCUCGGGAAGCUUACUACAUCGCAACUAAAGUAGGGAGAUAUGAAACAGCUGAUAACCUGGAAGGAAUGUUUGACUUUUCUGCAGAACGAGUCACUCGGGGCGUUGAUGAAAGCCUCAAACUACUGGGAAUUGAGUAUGUCGACCUUAUUCAGGUCCAUGACGUGGAGUUUGCUUCAAGCGUAGAUCUUAUCAUAGACGAGACUCUUCCUGCAUUGGAGAAGAUCAAAAAACAGGGCAAGGCUAAGUUCAUUGGUAUAACAGGAUACCCGAUACAAGUUCUAAGAACCAUUGUUGAGCGAAGCAAGGUGAAGAUCGAUUCAGUAUUGAGCUAUUGUCAUUUAAGCCUUAAUGACUCUUCACUUCUUCAACACGCAGCAUUCUUCCAAGAACGAAACGUUGCUCUCAUUUCUGCGUCACCCCUCUCCAUGGCGUUACUCACCGAUAGAGGGCCUCCUUCUUGGCAUAUCGCUAGUGAUGAAAUCAAGAAAGCCUGCCGAGAGGCCAGUGUAUACUGCAGACAGCAUGGCCAUGAUAUAUCAGCAAUCGCCCUAAAAUACAGUAUUUCACAUACGAAGGAUGUUCCAUUGACACUAAUAGGGAUGGAUAGGUACACUCAUUCAAUUAACGAGUAUAGAACAAGUUGACAAGAAUGCGAAAGCUGUGGAAGAGGGCUCUUCUGAAGAACAAGUGCAAUUCACAGCAACCCUGAUUAACAGGUAUUUCUCAUCCAUAGAAGAACCGGGAUGGGAAGGAAUAGAAGUCAAACAAUACCGCGAAGCGCUUUCUAGACUAAAUGAAGCGAAGAAA
rnacentral:misc_RNA from 1 species